GUCCUUUUGAAUAUAAUAUAAGGUCUGAUCUGCCCAUUGAUUUUUUAAAAGGCCGCAGUAAUUUGACUGUGCAAAGGUAGCAUAAUAAUUAGUUUUUUAAUUGAAAGCUAGAAUGAAUGAUUUGAUGAGAAAAAUUCUGUCUCUUUUUUAUUGUUUAAAAAUUUAUUUUUAAGUUAAAAAGCUUAAAUUUUAUUAAAAGACGAGAAGACCCUAUAGAGUUUAUAUAUAAAUAGUUUAUAUUUAUUUGUUUGUUUUUAUUUAUAUAAAUAUUUUAUAUUUUGUUGGUGUGAUAGGAAAGUUUAUUUAACCUUUUUAUUAUUUGAACAAUAAUACUUGAAUUAUUGAUCCUUUAUAAGAUUAAUAGAUUAAAUUACCUUAGGGAUAACAGCGUAAUUUUUUUGGAGAGUUCAUAUCUAUAAAAAAGUUUGCGACCUCGAUGUUGGAUUAAGAUUUUAUUUAAAUGAAGAAGUUUUUAUAUUAAGUCUGUUCGACUUUUAAAAUCUUACAUGAUC
rnacentral:rRNA from 1 species